rnacentral:ncRNA from 1 species
UUUGCUUCGGGAUAGGUUUUCAAACAAUUCAGUAUCGAAAUUUAGGAUAACAUUGAAUGUGUGCUGUAAGUGGACCAUUUUUUUUUGGUAAGCAGAACUGGUGCUGUGGGAUGAACCAAACGUUGAGUUAAAGUGCCAAACUUCCCACUCAUGAGACCCCAUGAAAGGCUUUGAUUGAUAUAGACAGCAAGACGUUAGCCGUGAAAGUCGGAAACCGCUAAGAAGUGUGUGAUAACUCACCUGCCGAGUACUAGCCCUGAAAAUAGAUGGCGCAUUCUUUGAUUGCUUAAAUUUUAUUGUGCGUACGGAUAACAGGGUCGCUCGGG